rnacentral:rRNA from 1 species
AGUGAACGCUGGCGGUAGGCCUAACAAAUGCAAGUCGAACGGCAGCACAGUAAGAGCUUGCUCUUACGGGUGGCGAGUGGCGGACGGGUGAGGAAUACAUCGGAAUCUACUUUUUCGUGGGGGAUAACGUAGGGAAACUUACGCUAAUACCGCAUACGACCUACGGGUGAAAGCAGGGGAUCUUCGGACCUUGCGCGAUCGAAUGAGCCGAUGUCGGAUUAGCUAGUUGGCGGGGUAAAGGCCCACCAAGGCGACGAUCCGUAGCUGGUCUGAGAGGAUGAUCGGCCACACUGGAACUGAGACACGGUCCAGACUCCUACGGGAGGCAGCAGUGGGGAAUAUUGGACAAUGGGCGCAAGCCUGAUCCAGCCAUACCGCGUGGGUGAAGAAGGCCUUCGGGUUGUAAAGCCCUUUUGUUGGGAAAGAAAAGCAGCAGGUUAAUACCCCGCUGUUCUGACGGUACCCAAAGAAUAAGCACCGGCUAACUUCGUG